rnacentral:rRNA from 1 species
AACUAACGCUGGCGGCGUGCCUAACACAUGCAAGUCGUACGAGAAAGUUGGCUUCGGCCGAUGAGUACAGUGGCGCACGGGUGAGUAACGCGUGGAUAAUCUGCCCUUAAGUGUGGAAUAACGUACCGAAAGGUGCGCUAAUACCGCAUAAUGCCUGGCAACAUAAGUUGUCCGGCCAAAAGAAGGCCUCUGCUUGCAAGCUUUCGCUAAAGGAUGAGUCCGCGUACCAUUAGCUAGUUGGUGGGGUAACGGCCUACCAAGGCGACGAUGGUUAGCUGGUCUGAGAGGAUGAUCAGCCACACUGGAACUGAGACCAGGUCCAGACUCCUACGGGAGGCAGCAGUGAGGAAUAUUGCGCAAUGGGGGCAACCCUGACGCAGCAAACGCCGCGUGAGUGAGGAAGGUUUUCGGACUGUAAAAGCUCUGUCGAGCGGGAAGAAGUGUACCAUGGCUAAUAAUCCAUGAUACUUGACGGUACCCUAAAGG